rnacentral:lncRNA from 1 species
AUAAAUUGGGCUUCCUCUCUGUUAUUUCAUUUACAGAGAAAGCGUAUAAUCAAUUUAGGACCAUCUAUCAAACAUUUUAUCAUUGCACCGUAGUUCAAGGUAAUCAUACACAGGAGCAACAAUUUCUGUGAUUCUCUGCCAGGAUAUCACACACACAAUAUAAAUGGAGAGACGCAAACAGGAGACUUCUUCAGUAACUCCUUAGCAGG